GGACCAUAGCUUAGUGGUACAGCAGUCUGCCUUGCAUGCAGAAGGUUCCAGGUUCGAUCCCUUGCGUCUCCA